rnacentral:rRNA from 1 species
GACGAACCGUGCAAACGUUGUUCGGAAUCACUGGGCUUAAAGGGCGCGUAGGCGGCUUAUCAAGUCGGGGGUGAAAUACUUCAGCUUAACUGGAGAAGUGCCUUCGAUACUGGUGGGCUUGAGGGAGGUAGGGGUCUGUGGAACUUCUGGUGGAGCGGUGAAAUGCGUUGAUAUCAGAAGGAACGCCGGUGGCGAAAGCGACGGACUGGACCUCUUCUGACGCUGAGGCGCGAAAGCUAGGGGAGCAAACAGG